UACGAAGGGGGCUAGCGUUGUUCGGAAUUACUGGGCGUAAAGCGCGCGCAGGCGGUUCUUUAAGUCAGGGGUGAAAGCCCAGAGCUCAACUCUGGAAUUGCCUUUGAAACUAGAGAACUUGAGUACGGGAGAGGUGAGUGGAAUUCCGAGUGUUGAGGUGAAAUUCGUAGAUAUUCGGAAGAACACCAGUGGCGAAGGCGGCUCACUGGCCCGUUACUGACGCUCAGGCGCGACAGCGUGGGGAGCAAACAGG
rnacentral:rRNA from 1 species